rfam:Clostridium caminithermale DSM 15212 genome assembly, contig: EJ27DRAFT_scaffold00029.29
UUUUCGGCGACGAAAGGGUCUGAAGGAAGCUGAUGACGGUUAUUGGAAGGGAACGAAAGUGAACUAAUGUUGGCAUGUGUAGUGGAUAACCCUCCAUGAAGUGGGAACGUCCUAAAAUUAGCUUAACUACAUGUGUUCUGAUGGUCGUUUUAAUAACAGGCGGAGUAAC